rfam:Canis lupus familiaris chromosome 6, whole genome shotgun sequence.
GGGAGGCUGGAUUCUGGGCUGUCCCGGUGCCCUGUGCUCCCGGUCUGCGCUGUUGGAUUCCCGCUCCCGCCCCGCAGCCCCCU